AGUUUGUUAAAAGUUUGUAUUGUUUUGUGUAAAGCUGAGAAAACAUUGCUUUGUAUGAGUUAAGAUUAACAUCUGUACAUACAUGUGCAUUUAGUGUGUAAUGUUUGAUCGCUUUUCUGUCAGUUUAUGAUAUUGAUCUUUCCUGUAAUCUAUGUUGAAAUUUACUUUCUUAUUCUGAAUUAAUUUUAAGAAACCAUGAUAAUACUUUCGUCAGAUACCCAUUCAUAAAACAAUGCAUGUAGGUUCUAUGGUAUCAGAAUACUUUCGUCAGAUACCCAUUCAUAAAACAAUGCAUGUAGGUUCUAUGGUAUCAGAAUACUUUUGUCAGAUACCCAUUCAUAAAACAAUGCAUGUAGGUUCUAUGGUAUCAGAAUACUUUCGUCAGAUACCCAUUCAUAAAACAAUGCAUGUAGGUUCUAUGGUAUCAGAAUACUUUCGUCAGAUACCCAUUCAUAAAACAAUGCAUGUAGGUUCUAUGGUAUCAGAAUACUUUCAUCAGAUACCCAUUCAUAAAACAAUGCAUGUAGGUUCUAUGGUAUCAGAAUACUUUCAUCAGAUACCCAUUCAUAAAACAAUGCAUGUAGGUUCUAUGGUAUCAGAAUACUUUUGUCAGAUACCCAUUCAUAAAACAAUGCAUGUAGGUUCUAUGGUAUCAGAAUACUUUUGUCAGAUACCCAUUCAUAAAACAAUGCAUGUAGGUUCUAUGGUAUCAGAAUACUUUUGUCAGAUACCCAUUCAUAAAACAAUGCAUGUAGGUUCUAUGGUAUCAGAAUACUUUCAUCAGAUACCCAUUCAUAAAACAAUGCAUGUAGGUUCUAUGGUAUCAGAAUACUUUCAUCAGAUACCCAUUCAUAAAACAAUGCAUGUAGGUUCUAUGGUAUCAGAUAAUUGCCAGAAAAAAGGGAUUCAUUCAAGGUCAUUCAUGGAAGUCAAACGAAAACAUAAAUUUAGCAUUACAUUUUGAAUUAUUCAUAGCAUUUGUAUGUGAUUAUAAGAAAUACUCUGUGUCAUGUGCACUUGAAUGUUAUACAAUCUGUGCGGCAUUGCUUGUUCUCAUAAAAUAAGACAACUUUCAUUCAAAAUUACUCAAGAUGUUAUUUAAUCGCAUAUCUUGUGUGUCCUUGAGCAUAGAUUGUACACGUAGCAAAAAUUAUUGCAGUUAUAAGCAUUUACUUUUGUACGUCAUUUUUAUAAGCAUAUGUCCAUGUUUAUUCAUAUCAGCUUAGAAAAGUCACUGUUGAUUUAAAGAACUUGAUACAUUAAUCACUGUUGAUUUAAAGAACUUGAUACAUUAACCCUUGCCAACUUAGAAGCAAAGUGAAAAUGGCUAUGUGCAAGCAGCAUAAAACCAGAACAGCCUGCGAGUAACUCGCAGUCUGUUCAGGUUUUAUGCUGUUUGCUGCUCAUCAGUAUAUAAAGGUUGGAAAUGAAGCCUUUAAAACUCGAAUAUAGUAAGAAAGGUCUUUAAUUAGAUUUAACUUUCUAAGGGAAUACAAAUGCGUCAAAAAAUGUAUUUAAGUGGUAAAGAGUUAAAAACAAAACACUUCAUUACUUAUGGUCUACCAAUGAUUUGGUUGUAUACUACUUGUAUAUGUUUUUGCUCACAGGUACAUUCAACAAAUGAGAAACAAACGCAUCUUUUUACCUUGCAAUAGUAAUUGUUUGCACUAUUGUACAUUCUCAUGCACUGUGUAUUGUUCUUUGUAAAUAUCUUUCUUUUGUAAGGUUUGGGUUGGUAAUAACUGUUUACAAAACUGUGUUCACCAUUAUGAGGGUCCAGACAACAAUUUGUACUGUUUAUCUCAACAUGUACUCUUUGUUUUGUCUUUGUUUAUUGUAAUGCAUUCUUUUCUUAAAAUAAGAUUUUUUUUAAACUCCUCAAAUUUCCUUUCAAUAUGCACAUGCAUAUCUUUAGCACAGUCUUCUUAAAAUUGAAAAUCAAAUGUGAUUUUUCGCUCCUCCUGGAAAUUUAACAAAAUGUCAGUUACACUACUUUUAACAUUCAGAAGACGACAUGUUCGCUCAUGUCAAUUUCGUUAAACAUCUUUUUUUACCAAAACAGUUGUCUUAAUAUUUUAAUAGUUGAUGUAUGACACAAAAGUAAACGCAUACAUGGAAAAAAGUAAAAAUGUAUUAAAUGUCAGUAACAUGACUUACCAAGUAAAUGAUGUUGGUUAUGUUUGUUAUGACAAAUUCAGCUAUGACAAAUGGUAACGUUUGCUGUAAUUACUAGGUUUUAUUCACCGACACCAAAUUUCUGGAUUUGUUGGAAUCAAUUCUUUUUCACCAUCUUUGACAUUACAAAAUGAUUCAUACAAAAAAUGGUCAUGUAUUGACAGUGAAAUUGCAUAUUUUAUGUGUUGUGCUAAAUCAGAAAUAGUGUCAAUACAUUGUGCUUCUUUAAAUUAAUUUAAAUAAAUAAUAAAUUUAUAAUAGUUAAUGUAAUUGCACUGUAGGACACAAUGUGGACUCAGUCUCUAUAUACUUGUUUGUGUGUGGCUUAAAAUAUGUCGUUCAAAUUUCCUGUGAUUCUGCGUGUGAUGUAGUUUCCAUAUUUUUAAAUGCUUUUGCUCCUUUGAAAGCUCGUCUCAUUCAGAAACAUUUUCUUGCUUGCUGAUAGUAGAAAUUCAUUUCUGUUUAUCAUGUACUGAUAGUAGAAAUCCAUUUCUGUUUAUCAUAAACUGAUAGUAGAAAUCCAUUUCUGUUUAUCAUGUACUGAUAGUAGAAAUCCAUUUCUGUUUAUCAUAAACUGAUAGUAGAAAUCCAUUUCUGUUUAUCAUAAACUGAUAG